rnacentral:sRNA from 1 species
CAAGGGAACAAAGCCGAUGACAGCCGGAUGAGCUUGUUGGGAAAACUGGUCUCCAUGGCGGUGGCUGUGUGUCGAAUCCCGGUGUUGGAGUGUGCCGCCUCCUGGCUUCAGUGGACUGUGUGGUUUCUUUCCAGCGGACGCCCGUGGUUUACUGUGUGAGGUUAGCCAAGGCCCUUGUGGAUGACUACUGCUGUUUGGUGCCGGGAUCCAUUCAGACGCUGAAGCAGAUAUUCAGUGCCAGCCCAAGAUUCUGCUGCCAGUUCAUCACCUCCGUUACCGCGCUCUAUGACCUGUCGUCAGAUGACCUCAUCCCACCUAUGGACUUGCUUGAAAUGAUUGUCACCUGGAUUUUUGAGGACCCAAGGUUGAUUCUUAUCACUUUUUUAAAUACUCCGAUUGCGGCCAAUCUGCCAAUAGGAUUCUUAGAGCUCACCCCGCUUGUUGGAUUGAUCCGCUGGUGUGUGAAGGCCCCCCUGGCUUAUAAAAGGAAAAAGAAGCCUCCCUUAUCCAAUGGCCACGUCAGCAACAAGGUCACAAAGGACCCGGGCGUGGGGAUGGACAGAGACUCCCACCUCUUGUACUCGAAACUCCACCUCAGCGUCCUGCAGGUCCUCAUGACGCUGCAGCUGCACCUGACCGAGAAGAAUCUGUAUGGGCGCCUGGGGCUGAUCCUCUUCGACCACAUGGUCCCGCUGGUAGAGGAGAUCAACAGGUUGGCGGAUGAACUGAACCCCCUCAACGCCUCCCAGGAGAUCGAGCUCUCGCUGGACCGGCUGGCGCAGGCUCUGCAGGUGGCCAUGGCUUCAGGAGCUCUGCUGUGCACGAGAGAUGACCUGAGAACCUUGUGCUCCAGGCUGCCCCAUAAUAACCUCCUCCAGCUGGUGAUCUCGGGUCCCGUGCAGCAGUCGCCUCACGCCGCGCUCCCCCCGGGGUUCUACCCCCACAUCCAUACGCCCCCGCUGGGCUACGGGGCCGUCCCGGCCCACCCCGCCGCCCACCCCGCCCU